ACGGGAGGCAGCAGUGGGGAAUAUUGGACAAUGGGGGAAACCCUGAUCCAGCGACGCCGCGUGAGUGAAGAAGUAUUUCGGUAUGUAAAGCUCUAUCAGCAGGGAAGAUAAUGACGGUACCUGACUAAGAAGCCCCGGCUAACUACGUGCCAGCAGCCGCGGUACUACGUAGGGGGCAAGCGUUAUCCGGAUUUACUGGGUGUAAAGGGAGCGUAGACGGAAGGCCAAGUCUGAUGUGAAAACCCAGGGCUCAACCCUGGGACUGCAUUGGAAACUGGUCAUCUAGAGUGCAGGAGGGGUAAGCGGAAUUCCUAGUGUAGCGGUGAAAUGCGUAGAUAUUAGGAGGAACACCGGUGGCGAAGGCGGCUUACUGGACUGUAACUGACGUUGAGGCUCGAAAGCGUGGGGAGCAAACAGGAUUAGAUACCCUGGUA
rnacentral:rRNA from 1 species